rnacentral:lncRNA from 10 species
GACAAGGACAGGGGGCAUGAGAUGGACACAGGAUGCCCCCCAGUCAAGGCUGCUUGGGAUCUGAGAAGCAGGCAGGCAGCUGCUCUGCCCGAGACUGUCAGGAGUCGGUGGAUAUGAAUCCAUGCCUGAAGCCCAAGCUCUCGCGGCUCUACUGUCUCCCUGAUGGGUGCAUGAAGGCCCCAGCCCAGUCAGUGACACAGAGGUUGGGAAGGCCAGGGCAUGAAGCUUCUGUGCUUGGAGAACAGGAGGGCUUGUGGAGCUGUCGUUGAUGGCGUGUCCAGGAAGCCUGGCCAGGGGCUGGGCCUGGAGGGUCUUUGUUUCCAGCUGGAAUCUGGCAACAGCCCCACCACGAAGGCAUGGCGGGGGGCCCAGCCUCUCCCCGCUGCACCACAGCUCUUGGCUCCAGGUCAUCUCUGCCCACAGCCAGCGUCUCUGGUGAGUCUGGGCAGGUGGGAGGCCAAACCUGUGCCCCACUGGUUUGGACGCUGAGCUCCGGGGUGACCUGCACCCUAUAGUCCUACAGUUCACACACUAUGGAGGCUUGAAGGGACGGGUGUCCCGUUUCUGAAACCCUCAGAGCAGCCUCGAUUGGGAGGCAUCCUGUGCCCAUCUCAUGCCCCCGUCCUUGUCUUGCAUCCUGGUUCUGGUUCUGCUGCCCAGCCUGCUAAGUGGAUGUGAAUAAACAAUCAUGCAGGGUCUGGU